AUUGGGAAGCUCAUUUGGCCCCAGGGGAAACUGCUAUGACAAAUGCAGUUGUAACUGGCUAAGAAGCGGAAUGGGUCUCCGUGAAUCUGAAACUCACUGAGUCAGCUCACCGGCUGGGCAGUGAACUUCAGGGAUUUUGAAGCCUUUUUCACCCUACUUCCUCACAAGUGCUGGGGUUAUAGGGAGAAGAGCUGGGCAAGGUUAUGAAAGACCUUCUAUGUCCCUCAAUUAUGAAUGGACAUGGACAUCAUAUUGCCUUACUGAGGAUUGCAGGCAUGGAUAACAUGGGGCACCACGCUCACUUUAUUUGGUGAUGGGGAUCAAUCAAGCCUGGGGCUUUGUGAUUGCAUGAUGUGCCCAUAUGGACCACAAGUGCAUGUUGUCAGUCAAAGCCCUUCCUGCUCUCAAGCCGAGUGCGCCAUCUGGAGAUGCCGUUGCUUGUCUCCCACAGCUUUCCAUUGAUUCAGAGCUGUACACCUUUAAGCCUACUCCUCAGCAGGUCCGGUGUCUGGGCACCUGCAUGAAGUGGCUCCAGGCCUGGGGAUGCAGCUUAGUUUGUAGGACCUUAAGGAAUCUAAAGCUACAUCAACCUUUCCAGACCGAGAUCUUGUCCUUCCUUCCUCAACUGUC